rnacentral:rRNA from 1 species
AGCAGCCGCGGUAAUUCCAGCUCCAAUAGCGUAUAUUAAAGUUGUUGCAGUUAAAAAGCUCGUAGUUGAAUUUUGGAUUCUGCCAGUUGGUCCAUCUUUUGAUGAGUACUGAUUGUGUGGGGUCUAUCCGCCUGGUGAUACGUAAUGUACUUUAUUGUAUGUUGCGGGUAGUCAGGACCUUUACCUUGGAAAAUUAGAGUGUUUAAAGCAGGCUUAUGCCGGAAUACAUUAGCAUGGAAUAAUAGAAUAGGACGAUGUUGUUUUAUUUUGUUGGUUUCUAGGACAACCGUAAUGAUUAAUAGGGAUAGUUGGGGGCAUUAGUAUUCAAUUGUCAGAGGUGAAAUUCUUGGAUUUAUUGAAGACUAACUACUGCGAAAGCAUUUGCCAAGGAUGUUUUCAUUAAUCUAAGAACGAAAGUUAGGGGAAUCGAAGACGAUCAGAUACCGUCGUAGUCUUAACCAUAAACUAUGCCGACUAGGGAUCGGGCGAUGUUGUUUCCAUGACUCGCUCGGCACCUU